ensembl:lncRNA
UUUUUUAGCAGUCUAGUUUUUUGGUUUGGUUUGGUUUUGUCGGGUUUUUUUGUUUUGUUUUUAAGAUGAGGUCUCACUAUGUUGCCCAGGCUGGCCUCGAACUCCUGGGCUCAUGUGAACCUGACGAAGGGACGGGUCAGGGUGGGUACUUGUCGCUUAACUGAAAAAUACCUGAUUAUUGUUGCUGGGGUCCUGUGGAGAGACAGUAGAAGCCACAGCCUCCUGUCUCUGGAAGUCCUAAGCCCUUCAGAGCACUUAAUGGGAGCAUUCAGCAUCCUCCAUAACCAGGAGGCCUUGGGCAGUUUAGGGCCCACUGCCAGUGCUGCUGAGUGGUGUUUGGACCUGCAGAGAACCUCCCGUAGUAGGCCGCCUCCUGCUGGGAAGACUGAGACCCCAACCUCAGUGGUGGAAAAGAGAGAAAUGAAUGAGGAAGGAAUAAGAAAAGGCUCUGCCUCUUUAAGUUCCAUGGAAGUCACUUCAGCUGGAGGGAGACAUGCUUGAACAAUGGGAAGAGGUGCAACAACUAUGGCCUCUUCAGCACCAUGUACACUUUUGUGAUCAGAAUUAAGCAUCAGAGCACAGAUCCUGAUAUUUGGAAGACAGGAUCCUUUUGGCCCCUGGCUCCCACAAGCUGUGUGCAAGCUGCUCCAGGAAUGUGCACAGCUGUUGCCACAGGGCUGGUGGUGGAGGGUGGGUAGCUGCUACUGUGCUAAAAGCUGAAAUUAAGCAAAACUAACAGUGUAUGUCCCAGCCUUCCCCUGGAAGGUCCAAGCCUUCAAUAGUCUCCAGACUCCAAAAGAGUUAAUCAGACAUGUUCUGCUAGUACAAUUCUUAUCUUUCAGGGGAGACAAAUUCCUAGGCUUCCAUGUUCCUAAGAAACCUCCCCUAAAAUUGGGUGCUUCCUACUCUGUUACCUUCCCAAGUCCUCUUCUAAUGCUUUUAUGUUUUCACAUGUAUUUCUGUGGGCUAGGGAUUUAGCUCAGUGGUGCCGCUGCCUGCCUCGAAAGCGCAAGGUCCUGAGUUCGAUCCCAGGUACCAAAAAACAAACAAAAAAAUACAUGUAUAUCUGUGAUCCAUUUUGAGUUAAUUUUUAUAUAAAAUGUGAGAUGUAUAUUCAGGUUCAUAAUUUUUUGGUUGUGGAUGUUCAAUUCCAGCACUGUUUGUUGAAGUCUUUCAUUUCAUUUCUCCAUUAAAUUUUCUUCCUGUCUAAAAUUCAAAUGACCAUACUUGCAUAGACCUCUUUAUUCUGUUCUGUUGAUCUGUGUGUCUGUCCAUCCUUUCAACAAUACCAAUACUGUAACUAUAUAGUAAAUUUUAAACUAAGUGGUAUCAUUCCUUUGAGUUUUUUCUUACUUUUUAAAAAUUAUUAUAGGUAGUCUAGUUUUUUUUGCCUUUUUAUAUAAAUUUCAAAAUCAGAUUUUCUAGUUCUACCAAAAAAAAAAAUCCUCAGCCGGGGAUUUAGCUCAGUGGUUCCGUCGCCUGCCUUGCAAGAGUAAGGCCCCAAGUUCGAUCCCCGAUACCAAAUAAAUAAAUAAAUAAAUAGAACUCCUAUAAGCUGAUCUGCUUGUGCAUUGCCAUACAAAAGUGGUCCAGGAAGAUUGGUAUGUGAUCAAAUAUUUCCAAUACAAAAAAAAAAAAUCCUCUUGGGGGCUGUGGAUAUAGCUGAGUGGUAGGGCAUGGCAUGUACAAGGCCUUGAAUUUGAUCUCCAGCACAACACAGGGAAAAAAAUCCUGCUGAGAUUUUUAUUGGAAAUGCAUUAAUUCAAUUCAGGGAAAAAUGACAUUUUUAUUACAUUGAGUCUUCUAAUCUAUGAACAUGAUAUGUCUUUAUUUAGGCCUUCUUUGAUGAUUUGGGGGAGAAUGACCCCAGGGCCUCGUGCAUUUUAAGCACAGACUCUGCAACUGAGCUAAAACCCCAGCCCCUCUUUGAUUUCUUUAGUCAGUGUUUUAUAGCUUUUAGUAUUUAGAGUUUAUAUAUAGUAUUAGGUUUAUACCUCAUAUUUCCUAUUUUUAGGAACUAUUUUUUUUAACCCAGGGCCUUUGCACUGAGUUACAUCCCUAGCCUUUAAAAAAAAUUAUUUUGAAUCAAGAUUUUGCCAAAUUAGUAAAUUGCUCAAGCUGGGCUGGAAUUUGCAGUCCUCCUGCCUCAGCCUCCGAGAAUGCUGUGAUUUCAGUCAUGUGCUACGACACCCAGCAUACUAUAAUUUUUUUUUUAAUCUUGGUUUCCAAUUGUUCAUUUUUGAGUUUAUAGAAAUACAGUUGAUUAUUGUCUUUUGUCUCCUUUGAUCUUAUAAGAGCCACUUAAGUUGUAUAAGGGCCUUUUGGUAGAUUCCUUGGGAAUUUUUUUUUUUUGGUACUGGGGAUCGAACUCGGGACCUUGCGCUUGUGAGGCAGGCGCCGGAACCACUGAGCUAAAUAUCCAGCCCUCCUUGGGAAUUUUGAUGUUGUUAUUUUUAACGUAGACAAGUAUGUUAUCUGCAAACAGAUAUAACUUAAUUUCUUUUUAACUUUAUUCAUUAUGGAUGUUGAAUAAGUAUAGUAAGUAAAUGCCCUCUCUGUUCCCAGUCCUAGGGGAAAAACAUUCUGUCUUGCACCAUUAAAUUAAAUAUGAUACAUUGCCAGUUUUUUGUAUUCAUUUAACUUUUUAACAUCUCUCUUUCAACCAGGACAUAUGCUUAAUGAAAACGGGACCACUCUGUUCCCAAUUCAACCCAUGGUGCUUGGCAUUGUGCCCAGCACAUACUAGGUCUUCAAUAAGUACUCACAGGGAAGAAAAAAAAGAUGUAAUAAUUGUUUACUCUGUUAACUUAGCCAGCUACAGCCACUGUCCUAUGUGACAGACAACAGAGGACUUGGCAGAACAUGCACAGACAUCAUGAAAAAUAAUCUUACAAUAAAUAUCCCAGCAGAUCCAGCUAGGCAUUGGCCCCAUAGAGUUGAUUAUUUUAAGCUCCAGAGCAUUUAUAGAUCAGCUUUCUAGCAAGCCUUACUAUGUCAAAGCAUUUAUCUAUGAGAAAUAGAUGACUGCAGUAAAAUAAUUAUUUUAGCUCGAGAGCAUUCCAUUCCUAAAGGGAAUUUAAACAAAAAGCUCUCCACUCUGAAAAACAGGGGCUUUCUGAGUAAAGAAUCCCACUGCUGUGAAAUCUUGGGCCCUCAGCUGGGUGGGG